rnacentral:lncRNA from 10 species
AGGGAAUCCUCCCUAAAUCAUUCAAUGAAGCCAAUAUCGCCCUAAUUCCAAAAUCAGGAAAUGACAUAACAAAAGAAAACUAGAGACCAAUAUUCCUCAUGCACACAGAUGCAAAAACCCUCAACAAAAUACUAGCUAACCAACUCCAACAGCAUAUCAAAAAGAUAAUACACCAUGAUCAAGUGGGUUUCUUGCCAGGGAUAUAGGGCUGGUUUAACAUACGCAAGUCAAUAAAUAUGAUAUACCACAUAAACAAUUAAAAACAAAAAUCAUAUGAUCAUCUCAAUAGACGCAGAAAAAGCAUUUGACAAAAUCAAGCAUCCUUUAUGAUUUAAACCCUCAGCAAAACUGGCAUACAAGGGACGUACCUUAAAAGUAAUGAAAGCCAUCUAUGAUAAACCCAUAGCCAACAUUAUACUGAACAGGGAAAAGUUGAAAGCAUUCCCCCUGAGAACUGGAACAAGACAAGGAUGCCCACUUUCACCACUUC